rnacentral:rRNA from 1 species
CCUACGGGAGGCAGCAGUGAGGAAUAUUGGUCAAUGGACGAGAGUCUGAACCAGCCAAGUAGCGUGAAGGAUGACUGCCCUCUGGGUUGUAAACUUCUUUUAUAAAGGAAUAAAACGAGGCACGUGUGCCUUUUUGCAUGUACUUUAUGAGUAAGGAUCGGCUAACUCCGUGCCAGCAGCCGCGGUAAUACGGAGGAUCCGAGCGUUAUCCGGAUUGAUUGGGUUUAAAGGGAGCGUAGAUGGGUUGUUAAGUCAGUUGUGAAAGUCUGCGGCUCAACCGUAAAAUUGCAAUUGAUACUGGCAGUCUUGAGUACAGGUGAGGUAGGCGGAAUUCGUGGUGUAGCGGUGAAAUGCUUAGAUAUCACGAAGAACCCCGAUUGCGAAGGCAGCUUACUAAACUGUGACUGACAUUGAUGCUCGAAAGUGUGGGUAUCAAACAGGAUUAGAUACCCUAGUAGUC